AUUGAACGCUGGCGGCAUGCCUUACACAUGCAAGUCGAACGGUAACAGGUCUUCGGAUGCUGACGAGUGGCGAACGGGUGAGUAAUACAUCGGAACGUGCCUAGUAGUGGGGGAUAACUACUCGAAAGAGUGGCUAAUACCGCAUGAGAUCUACGGAUGAAAGCAGGGGAUCGCAAGACCUUGUGCUACUAGAGCGGCCGAUGGCAGAUUAGGUAGUUGGUGGGAUAAAAGCUUACCAAGCCGACGAUCCGUAGCUGGUCUGAGAGGACGAUCAGCCAGACUGGGACGGAGACACGGCCCAGACUCCUACUGGAGGCAGCAGUGGGGAAUUUUGGACAAUGGGCGCAAGCCUGAUUCAGCAAUGCCGCGUGCAGGAUGAAGGCCUUCGGGUUGUAAACUGCUUUUGUACGGAACGAAAAGCCCUGGGUUAAUACCCUGGGGUCAUGACGGUACCGUAAGAAUAAGCACCGGCUAACUACGUGCCAGCCGCCGCCGUAAAAC
rnacentral:rRNA from 1 species